rnacentral:rRNA from 1 species
CCUACGGGGGGCAGCAGUAGGGAAUCUUCCACAAUGGGCGAAAGCCUGAUGGAGCAACGCCGCGUGGGUGAAGAAGGUCUUCGGAUCGUAAGACCCUGUUGUUAGAGAAGAAAGUGCGUGAGAGUAACUGUUCACGUUUCGACGGGAUCUAACCAGAAAGCCACGGCUAACUACGUGCCAGCAGCCGCGGUAAUACGUAGGUGGCAAGCGUUAUCCGGAUUUAUUGGGCGUAAAGGGAACGCAGGCGGUCUUUUAAGUCUGAUGUGAAAGGCUUCGGCUUAACCGGAGUAGUGCAUUGGAAUCUGGGAGACUUGAGUGCAGAAGAGGAGAGUGGAACUCCAUGUGUAGCGGUGAAAUGCGUAGAUAUAUGGAAGAACACCAGUGGCGAAAGCGGCUCUCUGGUCUGUAACUGACGCUGAGGUUCGAAAGCGUGGGUAGCAAACAGGAUUAGAUACCCGAGUAGUC